CUGGACUGAUUAAAUACCCCGGGAUGUAUGUAUAAAUAGAUUACCACAUGUCAUAUCAUCCAACGUGAAUCUUCAGACUCUCUUAUCCAAUGUGGUACUUUGUCCUUAGCUCGAAAGUAUUUGAUUGGUCGAGGAAAGAUGAAGCGUUGAUAUUAUGAAACUCAUUCAGAAAUUUCGUCACUUUGAAACCGAGAACUAAAUCAGCUGGCAGUACAUCGUGUGACUAACGUUGUUAGAAUAUUGGAUCCCUUUCACAAAGCUCUAUACAGAUGAAAUACACAGCGCUCCUAGCGGUAAUAACUGUUACCCUCUUCCUGACGUGCACGUGCGUUAACGGCCGCGUCAUAGCCCGACGCCAGUUCGUCAUAGACCGACACUUUGAGGACAAUAAGUGUGCGUAUAACGAUGGCUACUACACUAUGUGUUACGGCUGUGGGCGACAGUUCGGCAGCAUGGAACUAUUCAGACAGUGUUGCAAUGAAGAAAGAGACGCGGCGGAUUUCUGCAGUAACAUCUAUGGCAGGAGAUGACGAAAAUCAGACUUUGUCACGAAAGUUUCCUAUCGGACAGUGCAAGGUCUAUUAAACUAGCAGGAUUUUGAUAUUUCACUUUCAAGCAUCAGAUGAUGCGCGAGUAUCGACGUUAAUGCAUCAGAUGGCGCGGAAGGAUUCAUGGCCAAGGAAUAGAACACCGGUUUAUUCUCGCGCAACUAUUCCCGGAGGACAUAAUCUCGUCUGACACGUGCAGCAUACGUGUAUGUUAUGUUUACAGACAUUACCGGAUUUUUUUCUGAAAUGUUUUAUAGUGAAUACUUCGUGAAAUGACGGAAUCUGCUUUUUUAUUUUCUUACAUGGAUUGAUAAUGUUUUCUGAGCCCGUUGCUACCGCGGCUGGGCAUUGUAUGAAUGACACUGAAAAUGUUUUAUUUUAUCUUAUACAUUAAAAGUUUAGGUUAAUCUAU